GUUCCUAUAUGUUCCAGCUCCACAUACAACUGAGGUUAUUGCUGAUCUUCUUCAUGAUGUUCUCCUUGACUGGCAUAUCGAGAGGAAUUUGUCUACUAUAACUCUUGAUAAUUGUAGCACAAAUGAUAGUGUUAUGAGAAAUAUGGUUGGGACCUCCAAUGAGAACCUCAGACAAAGAAUGGACACUGUGAAAGGCAAGUUGCCCCUCUCAUCUUGUAUGUUACAAGGUAAAUUAGUCCAUAUGAGAUGUGCUUGCCAUAUUUUAAACCUUGUUGUGAAAGAUGGAAUGAGUGUAAUGGAACAUGGAAUUGAUAGUAUUAGAGAGAUUGUUGGAUUUUGGUCUGCCACACCUAAAAGACAUGAGAAAUUUGAGAAAAUGGCAAUGCAAAUGAAGGGUAAAUAUGACAAAAAGAUAGCUCUUGACUGCAAAACUAGAUGGAACUCUACUUAUCUAUUGCUUAACACUGCUUUGAUGUACAAAGAUGUUUUUGAACGCCUUGCUGCUCAUGCUCCUUGUAUUCCAACUGGAGAUGAUUGGCAGUUUACUAAGGACCUUUGUGAUAGAUUGAAGAUAUUCUAUGAUGUCACAGAGUUGUUAUCUGGCACUAACUAUGUCACAACCAACAUUUUCUUUCCCAAAAUCACCAAUAUUUAUUUGGCAAUUAGGAAGUGGCAAGUAAGUGCUAACCCAAAGGUUGAAGAAAUGUCUAGUAAAAUGAAAGAGAAGUUCAACAAAUAUUGGUUUGAUGUGCAUGGUUUGAUGGAUGUUGGUGCUGUCCUAGAUCCUAGGUAUAAACUUCAUCUUUUGAACGUACUUUUUUCUAAAAAUCCAUGGAUCUGAAAUUACAAGUAUGGAGGCUGUUAACAAAGUCAAGGAUAUCCUUUAUAACUUGGUUUUAGAGUAUCAAGAUACUAUAGAAGUUGUUGCCACAACAGAUGGUGCUCAACCUAGGACAAGUGGUGCUCCUAAUGACAUGUUUGAGGAGGAUUGGAUGGACACUUUUGAUGAUUACAUGUCCAAGCAACCAGACGUGACCUCCACUUAUGUGCGCACAGAGAUGGAUUUGUACUUAGAGGAACCACUGCUUCCUAGGACACAUGAUUUGGAUAUCAUCAGUGGUGGCAGCAUGCUGGGCUUAAAUAUCCUACUUUGAGAAAGAUUGCACGUGAUGUUCUUGCAAUUCCGGUUUCAACAGUGGCAUCUGAGUCCAUGUUUAGCAUAGGAGGAAGAAUAAUUAGUCCACACCGUAGUAAGCUUGCACCAUCAAUGGUGGAAGCACUCAUGUGUAUGCAGGCUUGGUCCCGUGCUGACAUGUUAGGGUCUCCAACUAUGAUGGGUGUUUUGAUGACUUGUCUUGAUGAACAAGAUGAAGAGAUGGAUGAACAUGAAUCAACAAUUGUUGAUUAACCAUUUGAGAUGAACCUGCUUGUUGGACCUAGAUGCUUGCUGGCUGUUGCUACAAACUGCUUGUUGUGUGUUGGGUGCUGCUAGCCUGCUACAAACUGUUUGCUAUAGACUGUCAUGUACUCAUGUUGUGAGAGACAUAUAUCUAUGUUGUAUGAAGUAUGCAAAUGACUAAAUAUAAUAUGUAUGCUGCUACAAACUGCUUGAUGCUACAAACUAUUUGCUAUUGACUAUCAUGUUGGCCUUGUUUACUUGCUAUUGACUAAAUGUAAUAUGUAUGAUGUAGCCUUUCAUCAUUUCAUGCCCUCUUUUUUCUGAUGAAGUAUGAAUGUAUGAUCUUGUUUGUCA